CGCAUCUGUGCAUGCAGCAUAUCAAUAAGCGGAGGAAAAGAAACUAACAAGGAUUCCCCUAGUAACGGCGAGUGAAGCGGGAAGAGCUCAAAUUUGAAAUCUUAAAGGAUUUCCCUUUACGAAUUGUAGUUUAAAGAAGUGUUUUCUGUUGAGGUUCUGGUAAAAGUUCUUUGGAAUAGGACAUCAUAGAGGGUGAGAAUCCCGUAUUUGACCUUUACUUUCAACUUUGUGAUACACUUUCAAAGAGUCGGAUUGUUUGGGAAUGCAGUCCAAAAUGGGUGGUAAAUUUCAUCUAAAGCUAAAUAUUGGCGAGAGACCGAUAGCGAACAAGUACCGUGAGGGAAAGAUGAAAAGAACUUUGAAAAGAGAGUUAAACAGUACGUGAAAUUGUCAAAAGGGAAGCGUUUGACACCAGUGUUGUUUUUCUGAAAAUCAAUUAAAGAACUGUUUAUGCUAAGUUGUUUAGACUUUAUCAGCUAACUGUUUAGUUUUGAGCUUUUCUUUAAUGCACUUUUCAGUUAACAAGUCAACAUCAAUUUCUUUUGCUGUAAAAAAGCUUGAGGAAGGUGGCUUGAGAUUCGUCUUAAGUGUUUAUAGCCUACUUGCCUAUGCAGUCGGGAGAGAUUGAGGUCUGCAGCGUAGAUCCUUCGGGGCUAAUAGCAUUUGUGCUAAGUUAUAGCAUUUUCAUAGACAACUUGUUGACUAUGAUUUAGUCUUGCUAGCUUACUCGCUUAUGCUAUUUUACCUACGCUUAGGAUGUUGAGCGCAUGUCUCUCUCU
rnacentral:rRNA from 1 species